CUGGUUCAGGCCAACCACAUGGACGAGGCCAAGUUCAUCCGUACUUAUAACGACUUUGUGGACUACCUGAGUGACCCCUCCAAGCGGAAUGACAUUGAGAGGGAGCUGGCUGAGGCAAAGAUCCAUCAUGUGAACAUGAUAGAUGUCCUCUUUGAGCUGGUGCUGUUUGGGAUGAUGACAGCUCAGAAGUCCCUGAUGGUG